rnacentral:rRNA from 1 species
UACGAAGGGGGCUAGCGUUGCUCGGAAUCACUGGGCGUAAAGCGCACGUAGGCGGAUUGCUAAGUCAGGGGUGAAAUCCUGGAGCUCAACUCCAGAACUGCCUUUGAUACUGGCAACCUUGAGUCCGGGAGAGGUGAGUGGAACUGCGAGUGUAGAGGUGAAAUUCGUAGAUAUUCGCAAGAACACCAGUGGCGAAGGCGGCUCACUGGCCCGAUACUGACGCUGAGGCACGAAAGCGUGGGGAUCAAACAGG